rnacentral:rRNA from 1 species
GGUGAGCGCUGGCGGCGUGCCUAACACAUGCAAGUCGAACGGAGCUGCUUUGAUGAAGUUUUCGGAUGGAUUUAAAACAGCUUAGUGGCGGACGUGUGAGUAACGCGUGGGUAACCUGCCUCACACUGGGGGAUAACAGUUAGAAAUAGCUGCUAAUACCGCAUAAGCGCACGGUUCCGCAUGGAACAGUGUGAAAAACUCCGGUGGUGUGAGAUGGACCCGCGUCUGAUUAGCCAGUUGGCGGGGUAACGGCCCACCAAAGCGACGGUCAGUAGCCGGGCUGAGAGGGUGAACGGCCACAUUGGUACUGAGACACGGCCCAAACUCCUACGGGAGGCAGCAGUGGGGAAUAUUGCACAAUGGGGGAAACCCUGAUGCAGCGACGCCGCGUGAGUGAAGAAGUAUUUCGGUAUGUAAAGCUCUAUCAGCAGGGAAGAAAGUGACGGUACCUGAAUAAGAAGCCCCGGCUAACUACGUGCCAGCCGCCGCUGUAA